ensembl:snRNA U6 U6 spliceosomal RNA
GUGCUCACUUGGGAAGCACCUAUACUAAAAUUGGAAUGAUAUAGAGAAGAUUAGCAUAGCCCCUGAGCAAGGAUGACACAGAAAUUCGUGAAGCGUUCCUUAUUUUU